rnacentral:rRNA from 1 species
UACGAAGGAUGCAAGCGUUAUCCGGAUUUAUUGGGCUUAAAGGGUGCGUAGGCGGACUUAUAAGUCAGUGGUGAAAUCUCGUUGCUUAACAACGAACGUGCCAUUGAUACUGUAGGUCUUGAGUACAGAUGCCGUUGGCGGAAUGUGUCAUGUAGCGGUGAAAUGCAUAGAUAUGACACAGAACACCGAUUGCGAAGGCAGCUGACGAAACUGUAACUGACGCUGAGGCACGAAAGCGUGGGGAGCAAACAGG